rnacentral:rRNA from 1 species
UACGUAGGGUGCGAGCGUUGUCCGGAAUUAUUGGGCGUAAAGAGCUCGUAGGCGGUCUGUCGCGUCGGUCGUGAAAACUUGGGGCUUAACCCUGAGCUUGCGGUCGAUACGGGCAUGACUGGAGUUCGGCAGGGGAGACUGGAAUUCCUGGUGUAGCGGUGAAAUGCGCAGAUAUCAGGAGGAACACCGGUGGCGAAGGCGGCUCACUGGCUCGUUUCUGACGCUGAGGCGCGAAAGCGUGGGGAGCAAACAGG